AGAAGAUACAAAAUAAAGACCACAUGCCCAUGGCUGGUUAGCCAUUUUUUAGUCAACCCCACUCACCACCAUCAAUGCUGAUUCUACAUCAGAGAGGAGGAGCCUCCAAAGCCUACGCCCUUUAACCUGUCUACAGGAAGUAUGUAAUGACAGGAAGUCAGUGGGCUCUUGGGAUAUGUAGUUCUUUUUUUAGGGUAACAGAUUUUCAGUCAUACAGUAUUGAUUCCAAGACGGAAGUAUGGCAACGUCCUGUAGUCUUGGCUGCAAAUGG
rnacentral:lncRNA from 1 species